rnacentral:sRNA from 1 species
AGGAUGAGAAGCUUCGACUAAAGUUCGAUUCGAGCGCAGCGAGAAAGCGUUGCCGCAGGCAACGACCCGAAGGGUGAGGAGCGGAGCGACGAAUAAUCCUUCCCCCACCACCA